ACUCCUGCGGGAGGCAGCAGUGGGGAAUUUUGGACAAUGGGCGAAAGCCUGAUCCAGCAAUGCCGCGUGUGUGAAGAAGGCCUUCGGGUUGUAAAGCACUUUUGUCCGGAAAGAAAUCCUUGGCUCUAAUACAGUCGGGGGAUGACGGUACCGGAAGAAUAAGCACCGGCUAACUACGUGCCAGCAGCCGCGGUAAUACGUAGGGUGCGAGCGUUAAUCGGAAUUACUGGGCAUAAAGCGUGCGCAGGCGGUUUGCUAAGACCGAUGUGAAAUCCCCGGGCUCAACCUGGGAACUGCAUUGGUGACUGGCAGGCUAGAGUAUGGCAGAGGGGGGUAGAAUUCCACGUGUAGCAGUGAAAUGCGUAGAGAUGUGGAGGAAUACCGAUGGCGAAGGCAGCCCCCUGGGCCAAUACUGACGCUCAUGCACGAAAGCGUGGGGAGCAAACAGGAUUAGAAACCCUUGUAGUCCCA
rnacentral:rRNA from 1 species